UCCUUGUCUGUAAAAUGGAGAUAAUAACAGUGCUUACCUCUCAGGGUUGCUGUGAUGACCAAAUGAGGUAACACAUGGAAAGCUCUUUGUAAGCCUUAAGGGACCAUAGAAAUGCUGGUUAUUAAUAUUAUUACGGCUAUAAUCAUACUCUCCCAGUUUCUAGUGUUCUCUCUCUCUCCCCAAAUUAUCUUGUAUAUGUGAAAGUAUUUUAGGCGAACUGGGAACUUUCAUUGGCUUGUUGGACCGUUGUCCAAUGGCUCGAGAGUAGAUGUGCUCCUGGGGCACCUCAGUCUGUUCAUCUGGACGUUCUUGCUAUAGAUGAGGCCGGAAGGAAGCAGGACGCUGUGGCUCCUUGGAACGCCAGCCGGCUCACAGGUUUGCCUUGAACGGGCAAACCGAGGACUUGGUCGUCCAAAGGCAGUGUUUCCUGGGCUGUUUGGUUCUGCCAGUGCAGGGCACAGAAUAAGGAUUUGCAGAAACAAAACUACCAUGAAUAUCAUUGCUGCUCGUGCAAUCACCCCCACCUUUGCAGAGAAUGAGAUGGGUGAUAAUCUCUAUGAGACUCCACAUGAAAUCAGCCCGUGGUAUGAUGCUUGGUGACCUCAAUGCAAAGGUGGAGGAGGAAACAAGAAACGCGUAGAAAAACACGGACCAGGAAGGAAGCAGGCAGAUGCUGCCUUCCUGAAAGAAUGAAUGAAAAAGAGAGAGAAAAACAUGGCGUGGAGAGAAAGGAACUCCGGCCUGAUCUCUUUAAGGGAGAUACUGAUGAAACAACAGGGAACCGUUGGAGAAAAGGACGUCGGUGUAGGUUCUAAGGAUUCCACACAAAAGGGGAACCUUCGAGUUACAGAGGAAGCCCAAGCUGCCGCCCGGAGCACAGAGACUUCCUCGGACAAGGAAGGGCUGAGUCUCUGCUCCUGAUGGAAAGGGACGGCAGCCGGGGGCAGUGCCAACUUCGCACGAGCUCGUUGGUACGGUCCUACGGAAUGGGAGCAGGCUCUCCUCAGAGAACUGCGAGAAGUCAUGACUCAGGUGGAAUCGGGGCAGGGCGCCAGCUCAGGCCUCUGACUCCCUGGAGGAGGCUCGGGAUCCUGGAGGUAGAGGCGGGAAGAAGGGCUCAGCGAGCCCAGAGUUCAGGCCCCCUGCGCCUCCACUCCCCGCGCCCCCCGACUUGAUGGAUGAAGGGCUUUGGCUUUCCCCUUUGGAGCCCCAGGGUCCUGCCUGGGCAGCUGGGGUGGGGGGAGGGCUCGGGUCUGCCUGAAGCUGCCUUUUCUUGUCCUCAGAGACCCACGCCCGGCCUCUGGCCCUUCCCUGGUAGACCUGGGCUGCUGGCCCUGCCUAGAUCUGACCCUUCUCUUCACUCCCAGGCAGGCUGUUAGGAGUAGCGUUGAGCCUGGAAGAAAUAAAAAACCUGCAGACGGGCUCCGUGCCCCUUCACUGACCAGCCCCAGCGGGCCGGGCUGCUUGUGGCCUUCCAUCUGCUUUCUAGAGUUUUUCCGUCUCCUCCGGUGCUUCCAGGCUGCUAGCUGUCUCCUCUCCUAGCGUCUGUGCGCCUGCUCUGAAAACCCUGCCUCCCUGCUCUAAUUCCCGGCUCCCAGCUGCUGCGGGCUCGGAAAUCAAUUGAGCAAGUUUGUUAGAACUGUGUGCAGAGUAGGGCCGAGAGGAGUGCCGAGCAAUCCACCAGUGUUUAUUAAGUGCCAACUGCGGUCCUGCCCAGAGCCUUCCUCUGUUUACCUCCUGGCUGCUAGCCACACUCUGGAUAGAUUAGACAGAGGGGAGCUGUGCUGUAGACAGGCCAGGUGUGAUUGUGCUAGCUUACAGUGGUGACCGGAACAUCUGGAGUAUCCAGUGUUCACCACUCCCUGCUGACCAGAGCCAGUAGCCCGAGAAGCACCAGACUGCACCUGGCACUCCCUGACAGGAAGCCAGGGACCUUUGAGAGGCGCUGGCAGGACAGGCCCUUGCUUUCUCCAGCAGUUACGGGAUGCUGGAUGCUGGGGCUGAUGACCGGCCUGGGAGGGGAAGCAGGAGGCUGAAGCCAGAGGCCACUUCUCAGAGAGAUGAUACCAGGCUAGGAGCAGAUGUGUCUGCAGCUCUCUUAAAUGUCGGUUGUCUAAGGGUUAGAUUGGGUUUGAGCUAACUUUUGAUCACGUUGCCAUUUGGGGGGAAGGUGUCCCAUGCUCUCUAUCCAAGGUUUGACCCCCUUUCCUUCUAAGACCAGUUCCACAGUGAAUGCACAUAGUGAAUAGCAAAGAAGCCCAUUCAUCCAAAUCACAGCAAAACAGAAAUCAGAGAAGGUCCAUGAAGGAGACAGUAUACCAGUCAACACAGUGAAGGCCUCUGCCACUGGGAAUGAGAGAACUCAGCUCCACUGAGGGGGAGCAUCCUGGAGGUCCCUAGAGGAGCGAGAUGGGGACAGGGACAUGACGGAGAUUGCUUCCACGUCUUCAGUCUUUUCCUUCAGCAGUGUGAUGGGGGUUGGCCUCUUCCAGAAGCACCCAAAGAGACUCAAUGUUUGAAAGCAUGAAGCUUGACCAGUUCCAAGGGAGCUGGCCUUGAAGGGUCCCAAGGGGGGGUGUUGAUCUUGUAAAGUCCCAAGGGAGCUGGCCUUGAAGGGUCCCAAUGGCCUGUCAGCUGAGAUUGCUCCAUUGACAAUAAUUGCAUGGGGAGGGUAGCUUGACCUGAGCAUGUAUAAAGUCAUCUGCACCCCAAAGCUCUAUAGUUUCUUUCCCCCCUCAGUUGCGAAGAAUUCCCUCCUUCCUUCACUUAUUAGACAGGAUAAAUCAAAGAGCCCCUGCCCUCCAGAAGAUGAUGGCCUAUUGAUUAGGAGGGGGACAGAGUAGCUCUGUAUAUAGACACUGAUAAUAAUACAGGAUGGCACCUAGGAAAGAAUCCAAAUGGUGGAUAAUCUCCCAAGAAAGCUGCCCUGAAUUCUGCAGCAGCAGCAGCAGCAGCAGCAGCAGCAGCAGCAUGAGGCUUCUUCUCACCUGCAUCGCCCCACCCACCAUCCUUGCUGUACUCUACACAGAAUGAGGCAAAGGAGUCAAAGGAUGCUUGGGAGACCCCGGUGAGCAGAUGGCCCUUGGGCAGGAGCCCUGCUGCCCAGCCAACACUGGCCCCCUCCCAUCUGGGGAGACUAUGUCAUGAGCUGUUACUCACAUUCAAUGUCUUGUCUCCCACCUCCACGCCUUUGCCCCUGCUGUCCUGCAUGUGUGAAUGCACUCCUUCCUCAUAGUAUGGCUAGCAAUGUAUGUUUUUGCACAUACCCCCCCCCCAAUAAAAUACAAGG